rnacentral:lncRNA from 1 species
CUGCUUAACCAGUGAGCAUAGAAAUGGACGUGCUCUGAGUAAGUGUUUAACAGUCCUCUAUCUAAGCUGCUUCUUCUGUGGCAUGCAUUACACAGGCACUGUACUGAAUGUCAGAGAGCAGGCAUUUCGAACUGGAAUUUCAUGGUGUAAAAAUAAAGGCCUUGUUAUUGACUCUGAGAACCAUGGGAACAAAUUAAACACAGCUUAAUAGCACAAAGGGGAAUGAUGGGGACAUUCGGAGCCUAAUAAGGUGAUCCAUGGGGUUCAUUAGCACAGGCAGAGCUUAUCAGAAGAGGCCUCAGAACCUAAUUAGCUGAACCCCCAUCAAAUAGAUGCAUUUGAUUAAUAUGACUCCAUUCUGAGUUUAAACAUCAACAUUAAUUAGCCCCAUAAUUGAUAGAUUUCCCAGCCAUGUGAGGAACAUUCAUCAUACUACUCAAGAAAGAUCUUUUUUUUUUCCUGAUAUUUCAAGACAGGUUCUCUCUGGGUAGUCCAGACUGACCUCAAACUAACACUCUUCCAGCCUUGCUUUCAGGGAUGCUGGGAUUAUAAGUAUGUGCCACCAUCUACAACAAGAUCUGUCUUAAUAUGUAAAGCCUUUGAAAACUGAAAACCUUAGGCCAAUGAGACAGCUCCCUGGGCUCUUGGCAUGGAAAUCUGAAAUCCUUAGAAGGAGAGAACUAACUCCCCAAAACUGUCCUCUGACAUCCCAUCUACACACACACACACACACACACACACACACACACACACAAUGAACAAGAAAAAGAAGAAGAAGGAGGAGGACGAGGAGGAGGACGAGGAGGAUGAGGACAAGGAGGAAGAAGAAGAAGAAAGAAAGAAAGAAAGAAAGAAAGAAAGAAAGAAAGAAAGAAAGAAAGAAAGAAAGAAAGAAAGAAAGAGGAAGAAGGAAAAAGGAAGAAGGAAGAAGAAUUUACGAUUAAAUUUUUAGUAACAGAAUUUUCAUUAAAAGUGCAGACUUUUAUAAAUUUAAAUAUUUUCUUGUUUUUCUCACAUAAAUAUUUCCCAAGAUGGGGGAAAUUAGUUAUUGCAAAACAUCCACAGCUAGACAGCUCAGAAAUGGCAGAAUUGCACUUUUUCUUCUCCUCACUAGGAAGCAACAUCUUUACUCAUAGCUAAGUUCAGCCUUAACUACUUAUAAACUCACACCAGAGGGCCAUGCCACCACUACAGUAUAACUUCCAAAUCGUUAGACACAUAACGUUCGUGCAAAUAUAAAAUAAAUAUG